rnacentral:lncRNA from 12 species
AUGCGUUCCGGUUCCGGGGUGUUUCUGUUCCGGUGGCGCCCUAGUUCCGGUUCUGGGGUGUUCCGGUUCCGGAGUGCCCUAGUUCGGCUUCCGGGUGUGUCCCAUCCCGGUUCCGGUGGUGCCCCAGUUUCCGUUCCGGGGUGUCCCGAUUCCGGGUGUGCCCCGGUUCCUGGGUGUCCCGGUUCCGGUGAUGGCCCAGUUCCCGUUCCGGUGGUGCCCUGGUUCCGGGUGUAUCCCAUCCCGGUUCCGGGUGUGUCCCAUCCCGGUUCCGGGUGUGUCCCAUUUCCGGGUGUGUCCCAUCCCGGUUCCGGGGUGUCCGGUUCCGGGUGUGUCCUAUCCCGGUUCCGGGUGUGUCCCAUUUCCGGGUGUGUCCCAUCCCAGUUCCGGGUGUGUCCCAUUUCCGGGUGUGUCCCAUCCCAUUUCCGGGUGUGUCCCAUCCCGGUUCCGGGGUGUCCCGGUUUGGGUGUGUCCCAUCCCGGUUCCGGGUGUGUCCCAUCCCGGUUCCGGGAUGUCCCAUUUCCGGGCGUGUCCCAGUUCCGGGUGUGUCCCAUUCCGGUUUGGGUGUGUCCCAUUUCCGGGUGUGUCCCAUCCCGGUUCCGGGUGUGUCCCAUUUCCGGGUGUGUCCCAUCCCAGGGGGGGGGGGGGGGGGGGGGGGGGGGGGGGGGGGGGGGGGGGGGGGGGGGGGGGGGGGGGGGGGGGGGGGGGGGGGGGGGGGGGGGGGGGGGGGGGGGGGGGGGGGGGGGGGGGGGGGGGGGGGGGGGGGGGGGGGGGGCCGCCGGUCUCCGGGGUUGUAUUAACACUGUUUUAUUGUCACUGCAGCCACCUUUGUGAUGGCUUUUGCCACUGCUGGCUUGCAGCUGAUCCUAAUGCUCCCCCCUCCACACCUCAGUGUAUGGUUGGUAUAAGGGUUUGUAUCCU